AUCUACAGCCAUGCUACCCUGAACAAGCCUGAUUUCGUCUGAUCUCAGAAGCUAAGCAGGAUCGGGCCUGGUUAGUACUUGGAUGGGAGACCACCUAAGAAGACCAGGUGCUGUAGGCA
rnacentral:rRNA from 1 species